rnacentral:rRNA from 1 species
AACGAACGCUGGCGGCAGGCCUAACACAUGCAAGUCGAGCGAAGCCUUCGGGCUUAGCGGCGGACGGGUGAGUAACGCGUGGGAACGUGCCCUUUGGUACGGAAUAGCCCCGGGAAACUGGGAGUAAUACCGUAUGUGGUCGAGAGACGAAAGAUUUAUCGCCAAAGGAUCGGCCCGCGUUGGAUUAGGUAGUUGGUGGGGUAAUGGCCUACCAAGCCGACGAUCCAUAGCUGGUUUGAGAGGAUGAUCAGCCACACUGGGACUGAGACACGGCCCAGACUCCUACGGGAGGCAGCAGUGGGGAAUCUUAGACAAUGGGGGAAACCCUGAUCUAGCCGUGCCGCGUGAUCGAUGAAGGCCUUAGGGUUGUAAAGAUCUUCCAGUGGGGAAGAUAAUGACUGUACCCACAGAAGAAGCCCCGGCUAACUCCGUGCCAGCCGCCGCCGUAAUAC